GUGGAGGGUGGGGUGAAGGAGAGAGAGGGGUGAAGAAGAGAGGAGAGAUGGGUGAAGGAGAGAGGGGUGAAGGAGAGCGGAGGAAGGGGUGAAGAAGAGAGGAGAUAGGGGUUAAGGAGAGAGGAGAGAGGAGAGAGGGGCGGAGGAGAGAGGGGCGAAGAAGAGAGGAGAAAGGGGCGAAGAAGAGAGGGGCAAAGAAGAGAGGAGAAAGGGGCGAAGAAGAGAGGGGAGGUAAAGAAGAGAGGGGUGAAGAAGAGGAGAGAAGGGUGAAGAAGAGAGGACAGAGGGGUGAAGUACAGAGGGGUGAAGAGAGGUGAGGGGUUAAGAGAGGAGAGGGGGUGAAGAGAGAGGAGAGAAGGAGAGAGGGGUGAAGGAGAGCGGACAGAGGGGUGCAGGACAGAGGGGUGAAGGAGAGCAGAGAGAGCAGUGAAGGAGAGCAGAGAGAGGGGCG
ensembl:lncRNA